GACAGAGUGAGGGAGGGAGUGGGUGACUAGUGACAGAGUGAGGAAGGGGGUGACACAAUGACAGAGUGAGGGAGGGGGUGACUAGUGACAGAGUGAAGGAAGUGAUCACUGUCACUAGUCACCUCAUCCCUCACUCUGUCACUAGUCACCCCCCCUCUCUCUCUGUCACU